AAAACGACUCUCGGCAACGGAUAUCUCGGCUCUCGCAUCGAUGAAGAACGUAGCGAAAUGCGAUACUUGGUGUGAAUUGCAGAAUCCCGUGAACCAUCGAGUCUUUGAACGCAAGUUGCGCCCGAGGCCUUCGGGCCGAGGGCACGCCUGCCUGGGCGUCACGC
rnacentral:rRNA from 1 species